AGAGACCCCAGACUCAGUAAAAAAUUGACCAUCCCCGACUUUGUCCUAUCUUUCGGUAUCUUUAGGGAUAUUCUGUGCUCAGUUCAUCCCCAUAGGAGAGAGAAACUGGACUUAUAUAUGCAUAAGCUGGUGGACCUGGGAAAUAAGUAUGGCGGUUAUACUUUUUAUGACUAUCACAAGUCCUUUUCAUCAAAAGUGUCAGCCACAUUUUCCCAGUAUGGCAUCCAGAUGGAUUGGAGCCAACUGGACAACGAACUGUUCCUCAGACACUUCGCGGGGCUUAGGACACCAGCUUGUGCCAUAUGUACGUCACCCGCUCACACAGCUUAUUUGAGCCCACUCUGCCCGGACAGCGCUCCCAGCACAUCAUUACAGCAUCCCCUUAAAGCUGAGAAACAGACCAGAGACAAAUUGGGUCGUCCGGUAGUGUACCUAGGCAAAUCACAAAUUUGCAAUAAUUUCAAUGAGGGCUCCUGUGGUUACAGCGCUUGCCGCUUAUUGCACGUAUGCUCACACUGUUUUCGGGCACAUGCGAAAUCUAUGUGCCCAAAUAAAAUGUUCCAGAAACCUUAUUUGUCUCCAGUGAACGUUCCUGUACUUGAACAUAUGCUGUCCACUCACCCCUCCAAACACCUGGUGGAAUUUUUAUGCACAGGUCUCACCAAGGGUUUUCACACAG